ensembl:lncRNA
CUUAGGUGGAGAUGAAGACCUAAUAAGAUGCGUUAACCUAAUGCUACAUAAAGAAUUACCCCAAAACUCAGUGUCUUAAAACAGUGAACAUUAUCUUCUCACAGCUUUUGUGGGCCAGGACUUGGAAGCGGCUGAGCUGGGUGCUUGGCUCACGGCCUCUUGAGGCGACGGUCGGGGUAUUGGCCAGGGUCGCAGUCACACAGUCAUCUGAAGGCUUCACCGGCCUGGCGGUCCUCUUCCACAGGGACUCGCUCACGUGCCUCACGAGUUGGUGUUGGCUGCUGGCAGGGGGCCCCCGUCCUCUCCCAAUGAGCCUUUCCACCAGCCGCUUGAAUGUCCUCUUGACAUGGAGGCUGGCUUCCCCUGAGAGAGAGAUCAAGAGAGACCAAGACUGAAGCCACAACAUUUUUCAUUACCCAGCCUCAAAAGUCACUCUCCAUCAUUUCUGCAACGUCCGUUGGUUACACAGGUCAACUCUAUUCAACAUGGAUGGGAACUACAAAAAGGCUUGAAUACCCAAAGGCAAGACUCGCUGAGGGCCGUCUCGGAGGACGGCUGCCGCUUGAGAGAAUGUCAAAUCCCACAGGUUCUUCAUCAUCCGGUCCAGCUUGCCCUGAUGUGCCCGCCCGUGUCAUCUCAGCUCUGCUGAGCCCUCUGUCCUCGGGCCCCUCAUCCGGCGCCGAGGCGUACAGUGUCUCCUGUGCCUUAACGCCAAGAGGGACGGCCGUUUGUAAGUCCUUUCAUAGCCUCCGCUACACCAAAGGCAGGGCUGAAAGCACACAUGGGGCCCAGAAGUUCUCGUCGAAUAACAAAAUAGUGAUUUUUGUCUCUUCAGAUGUCACGUGAGAGUUUCAGGAUUCCAUACUUUCCCAGGAGUUUUCCUUGUUAUCUUACAAGGACAAAUGUUUUCACCGUUAUCAAAAUUCCUUCAGUUGUUUGUAACUUUAAAGUCCCAUCAGGACCUGCGUUCCAAGACUUUAAACUACUGAAGCCUAACGUUGUAGAUGACAAGUGAACAGUUGGCAGCAAUUUCAACAUCUGCUUUUAAUUCAUUUAAGUGUGAUCAAAUGGUGAUUAAAAAAAGUGCUGGAAACUCUAAUAUUUCUCCAUUAUCCUUCGAAUAGUUGUCUCUGCUAACUGAAGUUGACUCUUGAUGGUUGUGUAGAUGGACCCAAAGUAAACACUGGGGCAGAGAGUGGUCCGUUUUUGUGCCUUCAUGUGGGAGCCUGUUUCACCCUUUCUUCGUUCCAAGUUCGUUCCCAAAUGUUCCAGACAAAAGGCUCUUGUUAGGGUUGAGUCACUGCUGGUUUGAAACGGGGAUAGUAACCAACAUGUUAGUUGGAACUAGCCUUAGAUUUAAAAACUUCUUGCCUUUGUGAGUUCACGCACACGCGCACACACAAUCUGUAAACAAUAUCCUCAGACGAUGGCUGUGCUGUUCUUUAUUUAUAAUCUGUCUCCAUUUGCCUCAUACACCUUGCUCACCCUUCCUUUUAGGCGUACUUCUUGCCAAAUAAAGUAAUUAGCAAGGAAUCAGGUAGGUAAUUGGAUGGAAUUACA